AAUAAAACAGCCACUUUUCACAAUGGCCGCCAAGAAGUCAGUAGGCUCAGUUUUUCUAAUUUACUGGAGAAUGUACAAAAGGUUUUAUGUAAGGUUUUGAAGUAUUUUGACGGAUAAUUAAACGAUAUUACUAUCUAAAACAUAUAUUGGGUUUACAGACAGGGUAGCCUAAAUUGGUAUCAGUAGUAUGCUUGGUAUAACGACUGGGCACUAAACGUAUCUGGUGUAUAGAGAAGGCAAAUAUGUAUCUUUGGCAUAUCGGCAGGCAAACUUGGCUUUUCAUGCAUGCCACUAUGGAUAUUCUUAGAACACAGACAGGCAAACUGUGUAUUUUUGGUAUGAUUUGUUUACAGACACGCCAUCCGAGGGACAAUAAUUGCUAUAGGGACAUUUGUUCUUGGGGGAGUUCUGUUCUUUGUCGCCUUGUUUGCCAUUGGGUUUAGCAUGUUCCUGAUCUCAAGCUACUACGCAGUACAGAUGUCGAGAAACAUCUUCACAAGACUUCUAGAUAAACUUCCAUACAUUCCAUUUAUAAGUGGUGACAGAACAGGAGAAAAAGAAGAGUGAACUUUGGGGAUAUAAAUAUUCGUUAACGAAAUAAAAAUUUCUUAAACAGUUUCAACAUGUUAGAAGUUGCUUUUGAAUACAACACACAUACCCGGUACAUGUAUUUAUUUGUUAUAUUAUAAUGAUAAAAUCAGAAUGAAAUUUGUGACAAAAUCUAUGUUAGAAUGUGUGAAUGAUUUGUUAUAAUUUAUGCAUAGUGUUCUUGAAAUGUGUACAAUAUAAAUGUAUAGAAAUUCAUACAUGUACCUAUUCAUGUUAUAUUCUAGUUGUUAAAACAACCACUUGCUGUCUUUCUUUAACCCAACCAUUUUUAUUUUCAAUAGAAAAAUACAUUUAAAUCUACAAAAAAAAUAUCAGUUAGGUUUUAUAAAUAAAGUUUGGACCAUCGUGCAUCAAAGACAUACAUGUAGCCUGUUUGCACAUAUUAAAGCUGGAAAGUCGCCAUAUGACCUAUCGGUGCAACGUUAAAUCCAAGGAAAAAAAAAAGAUUUUGGUGCAAUGUCAUAAUACAGAUUAUUCUAUUUGUUAUAAUUUCUUAAAGGUGCUCAGUCUAAUUUUAGUCAAUGACAGACAUGUCAUAGAUUUCCUUGAAACUUUUGAGACCAAUUGUUUAUUUACAUUUACAGUGUAAAAAAUUUCAUUGAACGCUUGAUGCAAAAAAGAUGUUCACUUAUGAAGUUGUUUUUUUUUUCCCGGUUGCCUGACUAUGACUUGAGUUCUUUUGAAUUUGAUAAAAUUAAUAUACUUUGCAUAAAAAAUGAGAUGAAUUUAACAAUGAUUUUAUCACAUUUGCCCAAGAUUUGAAAAGAGAAUUGUAUGUUUUUUACUGACAUUUCAUUAAAAUGAAAUUUUAUGAAGUCAUUAUUGUUGUGAAAAAACGUAAAUGAAUUGAUUAUAGUAAAUGUUUAGGCUUCAGCCAUUUUUAGCACAACUAUUCAAAGAAUAGGGAGGGUGUUUGUACUUGUCCAUGUAUUGCUGCAGGCUUUACUUUCAGGUUAAAGUUUUAUUGCAAGCUUUCUCAGUUUUACUGUAUCUUCUUAACUACUUCCCCUAUUAUCAUCAAAUUUCAAUUCAAUUCUUUAUUACUCUCAUUUCAUGAUACACAUGAUAAUUUGAGGCAAAAUACAAUAUUGACAUAUAAUAUAAUAUCAGUGAGGCUAAAUAUUAUACAUUUAACAUGAUUAUACAAAGGGAGAUGUUCCUUUCAACAGAAUAUAUAUAAUCAAAAACAUUUCAUUUGAAUAAUGCCUGACAAAAAAAUAUUCAUAUAUCACCACUUUCAUAAAUCACUGUAUUCAAAACAUCACUCAAAUAUUUUAAUAAUUUCCUUAAUAAACACAUUGCUUUCUAUAUUCAACAUGAUUGUUAAAAUUGGUUGUCAUUAAUUUUUCAAAUGAUAUGGUAUUAGGGUUCCUUAUGUAUUGUGGUUUAAUAAAUUUUUUUCUUGCAAUAUUUAAUGCUGAACAUUCUAAGAGAUAAUGAAACUCAUCGCCAAUAUUUUGAUUACAUAAUGUACAUUUUCUUAAGUCCAGAUAUGGCUUUGUCUUGGUUAGGGGCAGACAUUUGGUAGGUUAAGGUCAGAUAUACUAAAGGUCAAGGUCACUGGGGUUAAAUAUGAGCCAUGCCAUGGGAAAACCAACACAGUGGCUUUGUGACCAGCAUGGAUCCAGACCAGCCUGCGCAUCUGUGCAGUCUGGUCAGGAUCCAUGCUGUUCGCUUUCAAAGCCUAUUGCAAUUAGAGAAACCAUUAGCGAACUGCAUGGAUCCUGACCAGACUGCGCGGAUGCGCAGGCUGGUCUGAAUCCAUGCUGGUCGCAAAGCCACUAUGUUGGUUUUCCCAUGGCACGGCUCAAUUAUUGUAAAAGUGCUGGUUAAAAUUUUAUGGCAAGCUUCUCAGUUCCACUGUAUCUUCUUUACCAUUUCCCCUGUAGUGUCAGAGCUCACGCAAGGAUUGAUCUUAGUAAGGGGCAGACAUCUUUUGGUUAUUGGUCAGGUACAUUAAAGGUAAGAUUUUGUUAGUGUUGAUUAAGUUGAUGGCACACCUCACAAUUUCUUAAAUUUGCAUCUAAUGAUAUUUCUUAAUACCAUUAUUCCUCAUACCUUCAUUUCUUAACCAUAACCCUACUUCUACUCCCAUUCCUACCCAUUACAACUUUAAGGUAAAAAAAAUCUAUAUUUCUAUUGCAUUCAUUGUUACCUGUCAUUUUCACUUUGUUAUUAAUAACUAUUUAAAAGAGUCAAGCAUAUGGUCCUUCCGACAGCUCUAGUUUAAACUUGCAUUUUGGUUCAUAUUUGGGAAAUGUCCCAAUUUCUAUCAAAUGUAAAUUCUGUUUUAAUCAAAAGAAAUGUAGUGUACAGCUUUUAAUUAUUUUCACCGGAAAGGGGUGUAAUAAAAAAGUACAAUAAUACAGAUAUUUCUGAUGGAUCUAGCUGUAUGUGAUGAGUCUUUUUGUCUCUAACAGAAAAUAUGAAAAAAGGUUAAAUAUAAUAUUAUGUGUUGCUAAAAUGAGAUUGACCACCUUUAAGUAAUGACAUGUUAUGUUUUAUAAGUUUGUUAUUUUUUCAUGGAAAUUGAUUGUGAAUCAAAAAUGAAAAAUUGUUUUUGUUAUUUAUGCAUAAUAUUUUGAUACUAAAUAAAUUGUUUAUAUAUUU